AUUGAACGCUGGCGGCAGGCCUAACACAUGCAAGUCGAACGAGUGGCGGACGGGUGAGUAAUGCCUGGGAAACCGCCCGAUGGAGGGGGAUAACUACUGGAAACGGUAGCUAAUACCGCAUAUCAUCGGAUGUGCCCAGAUGGGAUGAGCUAGGAGGUGGGGUAACGGCUCACCUAGGCGACGAUCCCUAGCUGGUCUGAGAGGCUGACCAGCCACACUGGAACUGAGACACGGUCCAGACUCCUACGGGAGGCAGCAGUAGGGAAUAUUGCGCAAUGGGCGCAAGCCUGAUGCAGCCAUGCCGCGUGUAUGAAGAAGGCCUUCGGGUUGUAAAGUUCUUUCAGCAGGGAAGCGUUACUCGCAGAAGAAGCACCGGCUAACUCCGUGCCAGCAGCCGCGGUAAUUC
rnacentral:rRNA from 1 species